rnacentral:rRNA from 1 species
GACGAAUGCUGGCUGCGUGCUUAACACAUGCAAGUCGAACGGUGAAGGGGAGCUUGCUCCCCGGAUCAGUGGCGAACGGGUGAGUAACACGUGGGCAACCUGCCCCUCACUCUGGGAUAACUCCGGGAAACCGGGGCUAAUACCGGAUACGACCUGGUGCGACAUCGCACCGGGUGGAAAGAACUUCGGUGAGGGAUGGGCCCGCGGCCUAUCAGCCUGUUGGUGGGGUAACGGCCCACCAAGGCGACGACGGGUAGCCGGCCUGAGAGGGCGACCGGCCACACUGGGACUGAGACACGGCCCAGACUCCUACGGGAGGCAGCAGUGGGGAAUAUUGCGCAAUGGGCGAAAGCCUGACGCAGCGACGCAGCGUGAGGGAUGAAGGCCUUCGGGUUGUAAACCUCUUUCAGCGGGGACGAAGCGCAAGUGACGGUACCCGCAGAAGAAGCACCGGCUAACUACGUGCCAGCCGCCGCGGUAAUAC